UAGGGAAUAUUGGUUAAUGGGCGAAAGCCUGAACCAGCAACGCCGCGUGCGCGAUGAAGGCCUUCGGGUUGUAAAGCGCUUUUUGAGGGGAAGAGGAAGGACGGUACCCUCAGAAUAAGUCUCGGCUAACUACGUGCCAGCAGCCGCGGUAACACGUAGGAGACGAGCGUUAUCCGGAUUUACUGGGCGUAAAGCGCGUGCAGGCGGUCCAGCAAGUUGGAUGGGAAAGCUCCCGGCUUAACUGGGGGA
rnacentral:rRNA from 1 species